CCAGACUCCUACGGGAGGCAGCAGUGAGGAAUAUUGGUCAAUGGGCUUACGCCUGAACCAGCCAAGUCGCGUGAGGGAAGACGGUCCUACGGAUUGUAAACCUCUUUUGCCGGGGAGCAACGGGGUCCUUGCGAGGGCCCGAUGAGAGUACCCGGAGAAAAAGCAUCGGCUAACUCCGUGCCAGCAGCCGCGGUAAUACGGAGGAUGCGAGCGUUAUCCGGAUUUAUUGGGUUUAAAGGGUGCGCAGGCGGCGUGUCAAGCAAGCGGUAAAAUAGCGGGGCUCAACCCCGUCGAGCCGUUUGAACUGGCGCGCUUGAGUUCAGGCGAGGUAGGCGGAAUUCGUGGUGUAGCGGUGAAAUGCAUAGAUAUCACGCAGAACUCCGAUUGCGAAGGCAGCGUACCGGCUCCACACUGACGCUGAGGCACGAAAGCGUGGGUAUCGAACAGGAUUAGAUACCCUAGUAA
rnacentral:rRNA from 1 species